rnacentral:rRNA from 1 species
UCUGGUGACAAUGGCAAGGAGGUCACACCUGUUCCCAUGCCGAACACAGAAGUUAAGCUCCUUAGCGCCGAUGGUAGUUGGGACCUUGUCCCUGUGAGAGUAGGACGUCGCCAAGC